AAUAUCCCUUUCCGCAAGAACUGCUGUGGAGGUGCUGCAUGGCUGUCGUCAGCUCGUGUCGUGAGAUGUUGGGUUAAGUCCCGCAACGAGCGCAACCCUUAUCGUUAGUUGCCAGCGAGUCAAGUCGGGCACUCUAGCGAAACCGCCCCGGAUAACGGGGAGGAAGGUGGGGAUGACGUCAAGUCCUCAUGGCCUUUAUGUCCAGGGCUACACACGUGCUACAAUGGUCGGUACAAACCGUCGCAAACCUGCGAAGGGGAGCUAAUCGGAAAAAGCCGGCCUCAGUUCGGAUUGGAGUCUGCAACUCGACUCCAUGAAGCUGGAAUCGCUAGUAAUCGCGGAUCAGCACGCCGCGGUGAAUACGUUCCCGGGCCUUGUACACACCGCCCGUCACAUCACGAAAGUGGACUGCACUAGAAGCCGGUGAGCCAACCGCAAGGGGGCAGCCGUCCAAGGUAUGGUUCAUGAUUGGGGUGAAGUCGUAACAAGGUAACCGU
rnacentral:rRNA from 1 species